AACGAACGCUGGCGGCAUGCCUAACACAUGCAAGUCGAGCGCCUGUAGCGAUACGGGAGCGGCGCACGGGUGAGUAACGCGUGGGAACCUGCCCUUAGGUUCGGGACAACCGCGGGAAACUGCGGCUGAUACCGGAUGAAGUCCCCGAUAGAGAUAUUGGGGCCCAAAGAUUUAGCGCCUUUGGAGGGGCCCGCGUCGGAUUAGGUAGCUGGUGGGGUAACGGCUCACCAAGCCUGUGAUCCGUAGCUGGUCUGAGAGGAUGAUCAGCCACACUGGGACUGAGACACGGCCCAGACUCCUACGGGAGGCAGCAGUGGGGAGUAUUGGACAAUGGGGGCAACCCUGAUCCAGCAAUGCCGCGUGGGUGAUGAAGGCCUUCGGGUUGUAAAGCCCUUUCGGCGGGGACGAUGAUGACGGUACCCGCAGAAGAAGCCCCGGCUAACUUCGUGCCAGCAGCCGCUGUAAGAC
rnacentral:rRNA from 1 species